GGAUAGAAGAGUGGCGAACGGGUGAGUAGAACAUAGGUAAUCUGGCUUAUAGAGGGGGAUAGCUACUGGAAACGGUAGGUAAAACCGCAUAGUUGUAGCUGUCGCAUGAGAGCUACAUUAAAGGUGCGCUAGCACUGCUAUAAGAUGAGCCUAUGACGCAUUAGCUAGUUGGUAAGGUAAAAGCUUACCAAGGCGACGAUGCGUAGCCGGACUGAGAGGUUGAACGGCCACACUGGGACUGAGACACGGCCCAGACUCCUACGGGAGGCAGCAGUAGGGAAUUUUCGGCAAUGGGGGGAACCCUGACCGAGCAACGCCGCGUGAAGGAAGAAGGUAUUCGUAUCGUAAACUUCUGUGAUAGAGGAAGAAAGACCUGUGUAGGAAAUGGCAGAGGGGAUGACGGUACUCUAAGAGGAAGCCACGGCUAACUACGUGCCAGCAGCCGCGGUAAUACGUAGGUGGCAAGCGUUAUCCGGAAUUAUUGGGCGUAAAGAGGGAGCAGGCGGUUAUCAGGGUCUUGGUUGAAAGGCUAGUGCUUAACAUUAGGAGAGGCAAAGAAACCAGAUGACUAGAGUUCUGAAGAGGAUUGUGGAAUUCCAUGAGUAGCGGUGAAAUGCGUAGAUAUGUGGAGGAACACCAGUGGCGAA
rnacentral:rRNA from 1 species